ensembl:misc_RNA 7SK 7SK RNA
GGAUGUGAGGGCAAGGAGGCUGCAACAUCUAAAUGCCAGUGAUUGACUCAGCCAGGGUUGAUUCAGCUUACCUAGCAGAAUGCAUGGUCUCCCUCCCUCCCUCCCUCAGUACUCCACCUGUGUCUCUUCAGAUACAGCAUGUUUGGUCACAAAAGAGGAUUUUCCCGACAUAGACUGAAGGUGUAUGAAUAUCUGUGCUCACCUGCUAGAACUUCCCAAGAAGCUCUCAAGGUCCUAAAAAGACCUGCGUCCCCCUCACCUCAGAACCUUGAAGCUGAGCUGUCAGGG